GACGAACGCUGGCGGCGUGCUUAACACAUGCAAGUCGAACGGUAAGGCCCUUCGGGGUACACGAGUGGCGAACGGGUGAGUAACACGUGGGUGAUCUGCCUGCACUUCGGGAUAAGCCUGGGAAACUGGGUCUAAUACCGGAUAGGACCACUGCCUGCAUGGGGGGCGGUGGAAAGCUUUUGGGGUGUGGGAUGGGCCCGCGGCCUAUCAGCUUGUUGGUGUGGUGCUGGCCUACCUAGGCGACGACGGGUAGCCGGCCUGAGAGGGUGACCGGCCACACUGGGACUGAGGUGCGGCCCAGACUCCUACGGGAGGCAGCAGUGUGGAAUAUAGCACAAUGGGCGCAAGCCGAAUGCAGCGCCGCCGCGUGAGGGAUGACGGCCUUCGGGUUGUAAACCUCUUUCAGCACCGACGAAGCGCAAGUGACGGUAGGUGCAGAAGAAGGACCGGCCAACUACGUGCCAGCCGCCGCGGUAA
rnacentral:rRNA from 1 species